rnacentral:rRNA from 1 species
GAUUGAGAUUUAGCCAUGCGAGUUAACGUAGCAAUACGUGGCGCACGGCUCAGUAACACGUAGUCAACAUGCCCAGAGGACGUGGAUAACCUCGGGAAACUGAGUCUAAACCGCGAUAAGUGAGGAUUUCUGGAAUGGUUCCUGACUAAAAUCUAUAUGGCCUCUGGAUUGGACUGCGGCCGAUCAGGCUGUUGGUGAGGUAAUGGCCCACCAAACCUGUAACCGGUACGGGCUCUGAGAGGAGGAGCCCGGAGAUGGGCACUGAGACAAGGGCCCAGGCCCUAUGGGGCGCAGCAGGCGCGAAACCUCUGCAAUAGGCGAAAGCCUGACAGGGUUACUCUGAGUGACUUUCGCUAAGAAAGUCUUUUGGCACCUCUAAAAAUGGUGCAGAAUAAGGGGUGGGCAAGUCUGGUGUCAGCCGCCGCG